rnacentral:piRNA from 1 species
UAGUAAUGCUCACGUUGAUCA